GGGUUGUGAGGUUAAGCGACUAAGCGUACACGGUGGAUGCCCUGGCAGUCAGAGGCGAUGAAGGACGUGCUAAUCUGCGAAAAGCGUCGGUAAGGUGAUAUGAACCGUUACAGCCGGCGAUGUCCGAAUGGGGAAACCCAGUGCAAUUCGUUGCACUAUCGUUAACUGAAUACAUAGGUUAACGAGGCGAACCGGGGGAACUGAAACAUCUAAGUACCCCGAGGAAAAGAAAUCAACCGAGAUUCCCCCAGUAGCGGCGAGCGAACGGGGAGCAGCCCAGAGUCUGAAUCAGCUUGUGUGUUAGUGGAACGGUCUGGAAAGUCCGACGGUACAGGGUGAUAGUCCCGUACACCAAAAUGCACAGGUUGUGAACUCGAAGAGUAGGGCGGGACACGUGGUAUCCUGUCUGAAUAUGGGGGGACCAUCCUCCAAGGCUAAAUACUCCUGACUGACCGAUAGUGAACCAGUACCGUGAGGGAAAGGCGAAAAGAACCCCGGCGAGGGGAGUGAAAAGAACCUGAAACCGUGUACGUACAAGCAGUGGGAGCACCUUCGGGUGUGACUGCGUACCUUUGUAUAAUGGGUCAGCGACUUAUAUUCUGUAGCAAGGUUAACCGUAUAGGGAGCCGCAGGGAAACCGAGUCUUAACUGGGCGUUAAGUUGCAGGGUAUAGACCCGAAACCCGGUGAUCUAGCCAUGGGCAGGUUGAAGGUUGGGUAACACUAACUGGAGGACCGAACCGACUAAUGUUGAAAAAUUAGCGGAUGACUUGUGGCUGGGGGUGAAAGGCCAAUCAAACCGGGAGAUAGCUGGUUCUCCCCGAAAGCUAUUUAGGUAGCGCCUCGUGAACUCAUCUUCGGGGGUAGAGCACUGUUUCGGCUAGGGGUCAUCCCGACUUACCAACCCGAUGCAAACUACGAAUACCGAAGAAUGUUAUCACGGGAGACACACGGCGGGUGCUAACGUCCGUCGUGAAGAGGAAACAACCCAGACCGCCAGCUAAGGUCCCAAAGUCAUGGUUAAGUGGGAAACGAUGUGGGAAGGCACAGACAGCCAGGAUGUUGGCUUAGAAGCAGCCAUCAUUUAAAGAAAGCGUAAUAGCUCACUGGUCGAGUCGGCCUGCGCGGAAGAUGUAACGGGGCUAAACCAUGCACCGAAGCUGCGGCAGCGACACUAUGUGUUGUUGGGUAGGGGAGCGUUCUGUAAGCCUGCGAAGGUGUGCUGUGAGGCAUGCUGGAGGUAUCAGAAGUGCGAAUGCUGACAUAAGUAACGAUAAAGCGGGUGAAAAGCCCGCUCGCCGGAAGACCAAGGGUUCCUGUCCAACGUUAAUCGGGGCAGGGUGAGUCGACCCCUAAGGCGAGGCCGAAAGGCGUAGUCGAUGGGAAACAGGUUAAUAUUCCUGUACUUGGUGUUACUGCGAAGGGGGGACGGAGAAGGCUAUGUUAGCCGGGCGACGGUUGUCCCGGUUUAAGCAUGUAGGCUGGUUAUCCAGGCAAAUCCGGAUAAUCAAGGCUGAGGUGUGAUGACGAGGCACUACGGUGCUGAAGUAACAAAUGCCCUGCUUCCAGGAAAAGCCUCUAAGCAUCAGGUAACAUCAAAUCGUACCCCAAACCGACACAGGUGGUCAGGUAGAGAAUACCAAGGCGCUUGAGAGAACUCGGGUGAAGGAACUAGGCAAAAUGGUGCCGUAACUUCGGGAGAAGGCACGCUGGUGUGUAGGUGAAGUCCCUGCGGAUGGAGCUGAGACCAGUCGAAGAUACCAGCUGGCUGCAACUGUUUAUUAAAAACACAGCACUGUGCAAACACGAAAGUGGACGUAUACGGUGUGACGCCUGCCCGGUGCCGGAAGGUUAAUUGAUGGGGUUAUCCGUAAGGAGAAGCUCUUGAUCGAAGCCCCGGUAAACGGCGGCCGUAACUAUAACGGUCCUAAGGUAGCGAAAUUCCUUGUCGGGUAAGUUCCGACCUGCACGAAUGGCGUAAUGAUGGCGGGCUGUCUCCACCCGAGACUCAGUGAAAUUGAACUCGCUGUGAAGAUGCAGUGUACCCGCGGCAAGACGGAAAGACCCCGUGAACCUUUACUAUAGCUUGACACUGAACAUUGAGCCUUGAUGUGUAGGAUAGGUGGGAGGCUUUGAAGCGUGGACGCCAGUCUGCGUGGAGCCAACCUUGAAAUACCACCCUUUAAUGUUUGAUGUUCUAACGUUGGCCCCUGACCGGGGUUGCGGACAGUGUCUGGUGGGUAGUUUGACUGGGGCGGUCUCCUCCCAAAGCGUAACGGAGGAGCACGAAGGUUAGCUAAUCCUGGUCGGACAUCAGGAGGUUAGUGCAAUGGCAUAAGCUAGCUUGACUGCGAGCGUGACGGCGCGAGCAGGUGCGAAAGCAGGUCAUAGUGAUCCGGUGGUUCUGAAUGGAAGGGCCAUCGCUCAACGGAUAAAAGGUACUCCGGGGAUAACAGGCUGAUACCGCCCAAGAGUUCAUAUCGACGGCGGUGUUUGGCACCUCGAUGUCGGCUCAUCACAUCCUGGGGCUGAAGUAGGUCCCAAGGGUAUGGCUGUUCGCCAUUUAAAGUGGUACGCGAGCUGGGUUUAGAACGUCGUGAGACAGUUCGGUCCCUAUCUGCCGUGGGCGCUGGAGAAUUGAGGGGGGCUCCUAGUACGAGAGGACCGGAGUGGACGCAUCACUGGUGUUCGGGUUGUCAUGCCAAUGGCACUGCCCGGUAGCUAAAUGCGGAAGAGAUAAGUGCUGAAAGCAUCUAAGCACGAAACUUGCCCCGAGAUGAGUUCUCCUGAGACUAUAAGUCUCCUGAAGGAACGUUAAAGACGAUGACGUUGAUAGGCCGGGUGUGUAAGCGCAGCGAUGCGUUGAGCUAACCGGUACUAAUGAACCGUGAGGCUUAACCUUACAACGCCGAAG
rnacentral:rRNA from 1 species